UCCCAUGUUCCCUCCCGUGUCCCCUUCCCGUGUCCCCUUCCUGUAUCUCCUUCCCAUGUCCCCUUCAUGUAUCUCCUUCUCAUGUCCCCUUCCCAUGUUCCCUUCCCGUGUCCCCCUCCUGUGUCCUCUUCCUGUAUCUCCUUCCCAUAUGCCCUUCCCGUGUCCCCCUCCUGUGUCCUCUUCCUGUGUCCCCCUCCUGUAUCCCCUUCCCGUGUCCCCUUCCCAUGUUCCCUUCCCAUGUUCCCUCCCGUGUCCCCUUCCCAUGACCCCUUCUCGUGUUCCCUUCCCGUGUCCCCCUCCUGUAUCCCCUUCCCAUGUCCCCUUCCCAUGUCCCCUUCCCAUGUUCCCUCCCGUGUCCCCUUCCUGUGUCCCCUUCCCAUGUCCCCUUCUCGUGUUCCCUUCCCGUGUCCCCUUCCCAUGUCCCCUUCCCGUGUCCCCUUCCCGUGUCCCCUUCCCGUGUCCCCCUCCCAUGUUCCCUUCCUGUAUCCCCUUCCCAUGUUCCCUCCCGUGUCCCCUUCCCAUGUCCCCUUCCUGUAUCUCCUUCCUGUGUCCCCUUCCCAUGUUCCCUUCCCGUAUGCCCUUCCCGUGUCCCCCUCCUGUGUCCUCUUCCUGUGUCCCCUUUCCGUGUCUCAUUCCCGUGUCCCCUUCCCAUGUUCCCUUCCCAUGUUCCCUCCCAUGUUCCCUUCCCAUGUUCCCUUCCCAUGUUCCCUUCCCUUGUCCCCUUCCCGUGUCCCCUUCCCAUGUUCCCUUCCCAUGUCCCCUUCCCGUGUCUCCUUCC
rnacentral:lncRNA from 1 species